UGCGCAGGCGGGCAUUUAAGUCAGUGGUGAAAUACUGCCGCUUAACGGUAGAACUGCCAUUGAUACUGAUUGUCUUGAGUAUGGUUGAGGUAGGCGGAAUGUGUAGUGUAGCGGUGAAAUGCAUAGAUAUUACACAGAACUCCGAUUGCGAAGGCAGCUUACUAAGUCAUAACUGACGCUGAGGCACGAAAGCGUGGGGAGCGAACAGGAUUAGAUACCCUGGUAGUCC
rnacentral:rRNA from 1 species